GGGAGAGCCGGCAGCAGCAGCAGCUCCCAGCUGAUUCAGUCGUUACCUAAUUGCUGGCAGCAGAGCCGUGAGUUCAGGAGACCAUGGAUAGACGGAUAAUUGCAGUCCAGACUUACGAAACAGCAAGAGCCAGGCCCUGAGAAGAGAGUACAAAUGCCGUGCUCCCUGGUGGAGGGUAUUUUAAGGAGAAGAGAUCUGACAUCUUGCUAUUGUGCUGUAUUCACCAGAAUGUUAUCUCUUUUAAUGAUGACCACAUGCCUGAAUUCUGCACAGAUACCAACAGCAGGGAUAGGUGAGGAGCCCAUGGGCAGAGUGAGAAGAGCAGUCCUAUUCACACAAGGAAUGUUUGGUCUUUCAUCUGUUCUGAAGGCUGGAAGUCUGAGGUCAACGUGUCAGCAGGAUUGGUUUCUUCUAAGGCCUCUCCCCUUGGCCUAAUCCAGAUCAAGAAGCAAGAUGAGGAAAAUGAGAUUCUCUGACUCCCUUCUGUUUGCAAAUCAAAAGCUUUGACUUACCACUAGGCGGCACUCUUCACUCUGUUAUCUUUCUGAAGCCUUCAGCCCCGUAGGGCUGCUAUUCAAAUAGAAGCACUGCAUUUACUAACGUUUGUGAAUUGUUUAGGAAUAAUCAGAAGCACACUACAAUUCUGGACAGAUUUUUUUCCCCUAAUGCUUCU
rnacentral:lncRNA from 1 species